rnacentral:rRNA from 1 species
CGUAGGGUGCGAGCGUUAAUCGGAAUUACUGGGCGUAAAGUGUGCGCAGGUGGCCGCGCAAGUCGAGUGUGAAACUCCCCGAGCUUAACUUGGGAAUUGCGCUCGAAACUACGUGGCUCGAGUGUGGCAGAGGAAGGUGGAAUUCCACGUGUAGCAGUGAAAUGCGUAGAGAUGUGGAGGAACACCGAUGGCGAAGGCAGCCUUCUGGGCCAACACUGACGCUCAUGCACGAAAGCGUGGGGAGCAAACAGGAUUAGAUACCCUGGUAGUCCACGCCCUAAACGAUGAUGACUAGUUGUUGGGGAGUUAAAUCCCUUAGUAACGCAGCUAACGCGUGAAGUCAUCCGCCUGGGGAGUACGGUCGCAAGAUUA